rnacentral:rRNA from 1 species
UUAGAGUUUGGGGUAAAGGUU